rnacentral:lncRNA from 1 species
CAUCACGUGGAAAUUAGUCAGUGGCGUCACCUAAAUCCCCGACGAGCCGUCCUCUCAAACAGCCCAUCCUCUCAAACAUGUGCACCCGGGGAGCCAAUCCCCAUAUCUGGCCGACCGGUCUAAUCCUCACUUGACCAGUCCUCUCAAUAUUUUAUUUUACAUUUUCUCUUUUCUUUUCCAUAUCAUCAACAUCAUUUCAUCAGUUCAUCAGGUGCACACGGGGGCGCCGAUCUUCCAUUUACCCGGCCGACGGUCCAAUUUCAUAAUUUCAUCAGGAUCCAUAUUUAUCGACCGUCCUCACAAACCCAUGGUGACCCACUUCAUCCCAACUCCACACAAACAAAGCAUAGCAUUAUCACAACACAAUUAAUCAGACAUUGCAA